rnacentral:rRNA from 1 species
AUUGAACGCUGGCGGCAUGCCUUACACAUGCAAGUCGAACGGCAGCACGGGAGCAAUCCUGGUGGCGAGUGGCGAACGGGUGAGUAAUAUAUCGGAACGUGCCCAGUCGUGGGGGAUAACGCAGCGAAAGCUGUGCUAAUACCGCAUACGAUCUAUGGAUGAAAGCGGGGGAUCGCAAGACCUCGCGCGAUUGGAGUGGCCGAUAUCAGAUUAGGUAGUUGGUGGGGUAAAGGCUCACCAAGCCGACGAUCUGUAGCGGGUCUGAGAGGACGACCAGCCACACUGGAACUGAGACACGGUCCAGACUCCUACGGGAGGCAGCAGUGGGGAAUUUUGGACAAUGGGCGCAAGCCUGAUCCAGCAAUGCCGCGUGCAGGAUGAAGGCCUUCGGGUUGUAAACUGCUUUUGUACGGAGCGAAACGAUUUCCAUUAAUACUGGGAAUUAAUGACGGUACCGUAAGAAUAAGCACCGGCUAACUACGUGCCAGCCGCCGCAGUAAAAC